rnacentral:rRNA from 1 species
AACGAACGCUGGCGGCAUGCCUAACACAUGCAAGUCGAACGAGACCUUCGGGUCUAGUGGCGCAUGGGUGCGUAAUGCGUGGGAACCUGCCCUUAGGCUCGGAAUAACUCCCCGAAAGGGGUGAUAAUACUGGAUAAUGUCUCCGGACCAAAGAUUUAUGGCCGUUGGAUGGGCCCGCGUUGGAUUAGCCAGUUGGUAGGGUAAAAGCCUAUCAAGGCGACGAUCCAUAGCUUGUUUGAGAGGAUGAUCAGCCACACUGAGACUGAGACACGGCCGAGACUCCUGCGGGAGGAAGCAGUGGGGAGUGUAGGACAAGGGGCGAAAGCCUGAUCCAGCAAUGCCGGGUGAGUAAUGAAGGCCUUAGGAUUGUAAAGCUCUUUUAAACGAGCUGAUAAUGACAGUACCGGGAGAAUAAGCGCCGGCCAACUCCGUG